rnacentral:rRNA from 1 species
CAUGCAAGUCGAACGAUGAAGAAAAGAAUUGAAGCUUCGGCAGAAAUUCAUUUCGGAUUAGCGGCAGACGGGUGAGUAACGCGUGAGCAACCUACCUCUUACAAAGGGAUAGCCUCGGGAAACCGGGAUUAAUACCAUAUAACAUUGCGACGAAGCAUUUCGAUGCAAUCAAAGCUACGGCGGUAAGAGAUGGGCUCGCGUCCCAUUAACCAGAUGGUGAGGUAACGGCUCACCAUAGUAACGAUGGGUAACCGGCCUGAGAGGGUGAACGGUCACACUGGAACUGAGACACGGUCCAGACUCCUACGGGAGGCAGCAGUGGGGAAUAUUGCACAAUGGAGGGAACUCUGAUGCAGCGACGCCGCGUGAGUGAUGAAGGAAUUCGUUUCGUAAAACUCUGUUCUAUGGGAAGAAAAGGACUGUACCAUAGGAGAAAGCUCCGGCUAAAUACGUGCCAGCAGCCGCGGUAAUACGUAUGGAGCGAGCGUUGUCCGGAAUUAUUGGGCGUAAAGGGUGCGCAGGCGGCUUUACAAGUUGGAUGUGAAAUAUUGUGGCUCAACCACAAACGUGCAUCCAAAACUGCAAAGCUUGAGUUAAGGAGAGGUAAGUGGAAUUCCUGGUGUAGCGGUGGAAUGCGUAGAUAUCAGGAGGAAUACCGGUGGCGAAGGCGACUUACUGGACUUAAACUGACGCUCAGGCACGAAGCGUGGGGAGCAAACAGGAUUAGAUACCCUGGUAGUCCACGCCGUAAACGAUGAGUGCUAGGUGUUGGGGGUCAA